UACUCAAUGAACAAAUUGUGUGCAGUACAAUAUUCAGAGAGAUAACAGUCACAUCUUUUCUAAAGUAACUGUGUCUUUUCUGAAUAGAGUAAUGUUCACCAAAAACAGCCUUAGUGAU
rnacentral:precursor_RNA from 7 species